CCUACGGGAGGCAGCAGUGGGGAAUUUUGGACAAUGGGCGAAAGCCUGAUCCAGCAAUGCCGCGUGCAGGAAGAAGGCCUUCGGGUUGUAAACUGCUUUUGUACGGAACGAAAAGACUCUCUCUAAUACAGGGGGCUUAUGACGGUACCGUAAGAAUAAGCACCGGCUAACUACGUGCCAGCAGCCGCGGUAAUACGUAGGGUGCGAGCGUUAAUCGGAAUUACUGGGCGUAAAGCGUGCGCAGGCGGUUAUAUAAGACAGUUGUGAAAUCCCCGGGCUCAACCUGGGAACUGCAUCUGUGACUGUAUAGCUAGAGUACGGUAGAGGGGGAUGGAAUUCCGCGUGUAGCAGUGAAAUGCGUAGAUAUGCGGAGGAACACCGAUGGCGAAGGCAAUCCCCUGGACCUGUACUGACGCUCAUGCACGAAAGCGUGGGGAGCAAACAGGAUUAGAUACCCUGGUAGUCCACGCCCUAAACGAUGUCAACUGGUUGUUGGGUCUUCACUGACUCAGUAACGAAGACUACGACGUGAGUAGACCGCCGUCGGGAGGUACGGCCGGCCGAGGUAGUAAACGUUAAAGGUAAAGUUAGUACGGCGUGAGACGUGACCGACGGACGACGACGAGGGAGGAGGG
rnacentral:rRNA from 1 species